CUGCUUUGGAAAUCAUAGAGACAUUAGCGCUAAGACUUAUGACAAAAUUUGCAAGAGUUUGACAACUGCACACCACGGUGCGUUGGCUGAGGCAGCAGUUAAUUCUCUUAUUCAGUUCUGAGCUAACAGGUAUAGUUUGCACCUCAACAAAAGCAAACCUGCUCAGGAGGAACUACGGCUAUUUGGUCUCCAUAAACUGCUGAUGUUCAGUCUCCAUGAACAGUUUUGUCAGUGGGCUUGAAUGAGACUGCAGAGAAUGCAUUUUCGCUUGUCACCUAACGGGAUACCUAGAGACCUUCAUCCAACACUGUCAGCAACAGAAGGAAAAAAGAACAUAUUUGAUGUCCCACCUGUGAAGUCUGAGGCAAUGCAGUGGUGGGCAGGCUGCUGAGAGUCCCGCGGGAGGUGGUGUGUUGCGAACGGAUAGGAAGAAGCUCGGUUAAGGCGAGGACAUCUUCUCUUAUCCUGUGCACCCUGCCAUCCUUCAGCUUGGGAUAGCCCCUUUCUCUCACUUUUAUUUUUCCCUCUGCUUCUUGCAUCUCAGGCAAAACUGAGCGUUUCUAAUGAAUAACCUUGUCCAUUUCCCCUUCUGUAUUUAGGGCCUUAAUUCCAUAAAACAUUUGUCCCAGGCAUGGAAUCAAAGAAUUUACGAGAGUGAUCUAGAGCUUUCUGAGCAGUUUCUUCCUUUUCCUCUUGGAUCAGAUUAUUGUUGGUGGUUGGUUAUUCAAACAAAUUAAUUUGUGAUGCACACACGAGUUCUAAUUAGCUGCAAUUAUUCACUUACUUUCUCCCUGCUUCCCUCCCACAUCACUAGAAAUUCAAAAAUAUCACCCUAACACAGUGUGCCCUGCAAUAAUUGUCCUCCAGGCCAAUCCUGAACCUCUCAAUCCACGAUCAAUACCUUCAUCUGCCAGCCACGAUUAAUUAAAUGGAAUCCCACUUUCAGAGCUUUGAUUCAUAUCACCCCAGAACAGCUUACUAUGUAUUAUAAUCCAAACGUGAUUCUAAUAAUGUCCUCAAGUGAAAGGGAGGGGCUGACUGAUACAUCAAAAACAACUUCAUUGAAAAGCUAAAUGCUACAGGAGCUUCCAUUGUAAGGCAAGUGGUGAGUGGAUGGGACCAUAUUCUCUAGACCCUGGCUGCUUCAUGUCGGGAAAUAAUGCUACUGAAAUCAAAGGCAUAAGCAAGUGUAUUACUCUUUAUGAGAAAGGGAAGCAGAAUUUGGCCUAGCGUGAUUACUUUGAUGUCUGCACAGUCUGUGUGGGUGUAUUCUGUUCUACAGAGGCUUCUUGUUUUGGCCGG
rnacentral:lncRNA from 1 species